UGGAGUGUGACUAUGGUGUUUG
rnacentral:miRNA from 1 species